rnacentral:rRNA from 1 species
GACAGGGGAUGCAAGCGUUACUCGGAAUUACUGGGCGUAAAGCGUCUGUAGGCUUUUCGGAAAGUCUGAGGUCAAAUGUCGGGGCUUAACCCCGUCAACGUCUUGGAAACUCCCGAAAUUGAGCAAUGGAGAGGCACCUGGAAUGCCAUGUGUAGGAGUAAAAUCCGUAGAUAUAUGGUAGAACGCCAAAAGUGAAGACAGGGUGCUAGACAUUCGCUGACGCUGAGAGACGAAAGCGUGGGGAGCAAAGGGG